UACGAAGGGUGCAAACGUUGCUCGGAAUUAUUGGGCGUAAAGCGCACGUAGGCGGCUUAGCAAGUCGGAAGUGAAAUCCCUCGGCUCAACCAAGGAAGUGCUUUCGAAACUGCUGAGCUUGAGUACUAAAGAGGAUCGCGGAAUUCCCGGUGUAGAGGUGAAAUUCGUAGAUAUCGGGGAGGAACACCAGUGGCGAAGGCGGCGAUCUGGGUAGAUACUGACGCUGAGGUGCGAAAGCGUGGGGAGCAAACAGG
rnacentral:rRNA from 1 species